GAUGAAAUAAUGUAGGUAAGGGAAAUCAGCAAAAUGGAUCUGUAACUUCAGGAAAAGGAUUGCCUCUGAGGGCUGGGCACAGGGGUCCCAGUCCUGAACCCAUCGAUUGUUAGUGGACUGAUCGAGCUGCUCCCACGAUAAAAGUAGGUCACCGCAUGCCAGUCGGGGGAAAAACUAGGAACGAUUCCUUCAAGGGCCUUUCCCGUGCGUCGAACAGCCAUCUUAGAACUAGUACAGAUAAGGGAAAUUCGACUGUUUAAUUAAAACAAAGAAUUACGAUGGUCCGAAUGGAUGUUCACGCAAUGUGAUUUCUACCCAGUGCUCUGAAUGUCAAAGUGAAGAAAUUCAACCAAGCAUGGGUAAACGGUGGGAGUAACUAUGACUCUCUUAAGGUAUCCAAAUGCCUAGUCAUCUAAUUAGUGACACAUAUGAAUAGAUUAAAGAGAUUCCCAUUGUCUCUUUCUACUAUCCAGCGAAACUACAGCCAAAGGAACGGGCUUGGCAGAAUCAGUAUGGAAAGAAGAUCCUGUUGAGCUUGACUCAAGUCCGACCUUGUGAAAUGAUUUGAGAGGUGUAGUAUAAGUGGGAGAUGAAAGACGAAAGUGAAAUACCACUACUUUUAACAUUAUCUUACUUUUUCACUGAAUUGGAAGUGGGGCACUACUCCUCUUUUUGGACCCAAGGCUCACUCUACGGGCUGAUCCAAGUGGAAUACAUUGUUAGGUGGAAAGUUUGGCUGGGGUGGCAUAUCUGUUAAAAUAUAACGCAGGUGUUCUAAGAUGAGCUCAAUGAGAACAGAAAUCUCGUGUGGAAUAGAAGGGUAAAAGAUCGUCUAAUUCUGAUUUCCAAUACAAAUACAAACUAUAAAAGUGUGGUCUAACGAUCUUUUAAACCUUCUGAAUUCAAUGCUAGAGGUGUCAAAAAAGUUACCAUAGGGAUAACUUGCUAGUGGCAGCCAAGCGUUCAUAGCGACGUUGCAUUUUGAUCCUUCGAUGUCUGCUUUUCCUAUCAUUGUGAAGCAAAAUUCACUAAGUGUUGGAUUGUUCACCCACCAAUAGGGAAUGUGAGAUGGGUUUAGACCAUCGUGAGACAGGUUAGUUUUACCCUAUUGAUGACAGCGUCAUAAUAGUAAUUCAACCUAGUUCAAGAAGAACCGUUGAUUCACAUAAUUGGUCAUCGUGCUUGGUUGAAAAACUAGUGGCACAAAGCUACCAUGUGCUAGAUUAUAACUGAACGCCUCUAAGUUAGAAUUUGGGCUAGAAGCAAUGCAUGCUCCCUCCGUCCACUUAUCGACCCGUAGUAGGGGCCUCAGUAUACCGCGGCAUAGCCUCACUCGCGUUUGGCGCUUAUUUUUCAAGUGUCGUAUCCGUUCCAUUCCAAAUAGUUAAGAAUGAUAUCAAGGGGCCUUUCGUACAAAACUAAGGCAUCGCAAUUAGAGGUUUUUCACGAUGCGUAGUAGG
rnacentral:ncRNA from 1 species